rnacentral:lncRNA from 1 species
GCAUUAUUUGAGUGAGAAAUUAUAUCUACACUCAUAAGCAUACUGAUAAUUUGACGCUAUGGCACAGAUCACAUGCCCGUGAAAUAUGUACAAAAAGCUGCCAAGCUGCCAGGGACAACGGACAUUCGGUUUAUCCAAAAGUGAAACUUAUACCUAUCACUCUCUCCAACUCCAAGUCUUCAGGCUUCAGCAGACAGCAGAUGGACAGGCCGCUCCCUGUUCGGCUGUUCUGUGUGGAGAGCCAGAGAGGAACAUCCAAAGUCCAAACGCAAUCAACGCAUUACGCAGUACGCACUGAAGCAGUGAAGCAAGAAGCAAAGAAAGACGUGGUGUACUGGUGGCCACGAUCGAGCACAAGGCAGCCAGGCAGGAGCUAACCGAGGUCCGGCGCGAGGGGCAGAGGGCGAGCCGGUGUCCGGCGAGGCGACCGCGGCUGGCGCAGUGCGGCAGUGGCGCCUGGCGGCUGCGGCUAGCAGGCAGCAGCUGGGCGCCUGGGGCCUGCCGGCCUGGGCAGCGACAGGGACGCAGGCAGGGUGGCAACUGGCAACCG